rnacentral:rRNA from 1 species
CCUACGGGAGGCAGCAGUGAGGAAUAUUGGUCAAUGGGCGAGAGCCUGAACCAGCCAAGUCGCGUGAAGGAAGAAGGUUCUAUGGAUUGUAAACUUCUAUUGUAAGGGAAUAAAAAAGAGUACGUGUACUCUAUUGUAUGUACUUUACGAAUAAGGAUCGGCUAACUCCGUGCCAGCAGCCGCGGUAAU